ACUACGGGUGGCAGCAGUGGGGGAUAUUGCACAAUGGGGGGAACCCUGAUGCAGCGACGCCGCGUGGGUGAAGAAGCGCCUCGGCGCGUAAAGCCCUGUCAGCAGGGAAGAAAAUGACGGUACCUGAAGAAGAAGCCCCGGCUAACUACGUGCCAGCAGCCGCGGUAAUACGUAGGGGGCAAGCGUGAUCCGGAUUUACUGGGUGUAAAGGGGGCGCAGACGGCGAUGCAAGCCAGGAGUGAAAGCCCGGGGCCCAACCCCGGGACUGCUCUUGGAACUGCGUGGCUGGAGUGCAGGAGGGGCAGGCGGAAUUCCUGGUGUAGCGGUGAAAUGCGUAGAUAUCAGGAGGAACACCGGUGGCGAAGGCGGCCUGCUGGACUGCAACUGACGUUGAGGCCCGAAAGCGUGGGGAGCAAACAGGAUUAGAUACCCUAGUAGUC
rnacentral:rRNA from 1 species